CCCUUAGAUGUUCUGGGCCGCACGCGCGCUACACUGUUCGACGCAGCGAGUCUUAACCUUGACCGAAAGGUUUGGGUAAUCUCCAAAUUUCGUCGUGAUGGGGAUAGAUUAUUGCAAUUAUUAAUCUUCAACGAGGAAUGCCUAGUAAGCGCAAGUCAUCAGCUUGCGUUGAUUACGUCCCUGCCCUUUGUACACACCGCCCGUCGCUCCUACCGAUUGAAUGGUCCGGUGAAGCGUUCGGACCGUGGCCUUUGGACGGUUCGCCGUCUGUUGGCUGCGGGAAGUUCGUUAAACCUUAUCAUUUAGAGGAAGGAGAAGUCGUAACA
rnacentral:rRNA from 1 species